rnacentral:rRNA from 1 species
UACGAAGGGGGCGAGCGUUGUUCGGAAUUACUGGGCGUAAAGGGCGCGCAGGCGGCUCAGACAGUCAGAUGUGAAAGCCCCGGGCUUAACCUGGGAACUGCAUUUGAUACUACUGAGCUUGAGUACGGGAGAGGAUAGUGGAAUUCCCAGUGUAGAGGUGAAAUUCGUAGAUAUUGGGAAGAACACCGGUGGCGAAGGCGGCUAUCUGGACCGUAACUGACGCUGAGGCGCGAAAGCGUGGGGAGCAAACAGG